UCAAUUCCAGUUUCAUUUUUCUUUCUUAAAUUAAUUUUUACUAGAGUCAAAGGCUGUGAUUUCUAAGAACACAUCCACAUUUCACAAUAAGGUUCCUGCCCACCCUAGAGAUCAAAGCUGGCUGGGAAUUCUGCUUUUCAAAUGAACAGAGCCGCUAGACAUCAGACUGCACCCAAAUGAAGAUAAAAGGUGUCCUGGACAGAGACCACCUGACCGUGCUGCCCGCUGAGACCACUACCACUGCCACUCAUGCCUCAGUAAGAACACAGCUGAUGGGUCAAGCACCCACCAUCACCCCCAGCCAGACCUCGCCCUUCCUGACAGGACCAUUCCAGGGGAG
rnacentral:lncRNA from 1 species